rnacentral:lncRNA from 14 species
ACUGGUGGGCUGUGGGGAUGCCUCAAAUAUCUGUAGAAUGAGUAAAAAGUUAUUUGUGAAAUAAGCUUAUUAUUAAUUGCUUUGACUGAUGUGUUAUCUCUUAUUCUUUGCAGGUCGCUCUGAGGUGACAGUGAUCAUCAGGACUCCUGUUCUUGUCUCACCAGUCGAGUGUGCGAGCCAUCCUAAAACUCAGUGGCUGAAGAUGAGAGCUGUCCCAUUUGCUCACGACUCUGCAGUUAGAGCUGAAUCCAACUGCGUGGCUCUUUUGCCAGCCUUACCAACGCAUCACUCGACAGCUAUGGGUCAAGCUCAGCUGAAGGUUGGCCUGACUGGGCCUCUUCCCACCCGUCUCUGAUGAUAGCUUCAUGCUUGACUCCUCCAAACAAUCUUCACAUAGAAAGCAGACAUCUUCCGUACCUCCCCAGGACUGUCAAAAACGCAGAAGCUGUCCACCCAUCACAUUCACAGUUCGAGACCAGAAAGGGACAUGUGAG